UAUCUUUUGAUUGAACCGUUCGAUUGCCAAGCUGUAAAGUGUGUUGGAAAGCUGAUACUUACAUCUUUAAGAUCUCCAAAUUUGAGUUGGAUCAGACGUUGAGAAGGUCUUCAAUCGGGGGUGAACUUCUGACAGUUUGACUAUGAGCUGAAAUCUGGUUUUCUAUCCAUUUUGUUAAGCUUUUCCCUAAGUUACCUGAAAGAGUCUUGGAACUACAAAUACUAGAAAAACGUAAUAAAAGUACUUAAAAGCAAUUAAAAACAUAGAAAAAGUAUUUCAAAACGAUCCAUAAAAGUGGUCAAAAUACGGUGUUAUAAGUCCCUCAUACACAAGUUUGGUUUGAUAACCCCUUGUACUACAAGACAGGGGAUCG
rnacentral:lncRNA from 1 species